rnacentral:lncRNA from 1 species
GGCAGGAAGGCCCUAGAGGCCCAGAGGGAACCAGCCUGAUGAGGCCGUGAUUUCAGACUGUCGGCCCAGGAAGGGGCCCAAGCCGUGGCCCACCCCACCAUCCAGUCUUCUUGGACCCACCUUGGUCCCUCUGCCCGAUGGUGAUGUCCUAAGCAGCCAGGUUUCUGUAAGAGCAUGCGUCACAGACUGAAAAUGACAGCAGCAGCCUCCUUUUAUUCACCAGCUCUUCUCUAGUGUGUGAGGGAUCGUGGCACAUGUCACACACUCAGACCAGAGAGAUGUCAGUCUGGCCUCUACUCUGCCUUCAUGGGUGCUUCAUGUAGGUCUUCCUGGCACCUCCCGGGAUGUGACUCUUCUCACCAUGGCCAUCAUGUCCCUCCUGGUCUCCUCCUAUGCCUUCUGUGAGCCCACCUGUGCUAUGCUGCUGGCCUUCCUGUGGGGCUGUGUGCAGUGAGCCCUGGGGCUCCUGCUCUCAGCCGGGGUUCCUGCUGGACGUCAUCUCCUGCCCCGUCAAUCAUUAAAGUUUUCACCUCCACUGCUACCGUCACCAUCGGCUUCGGGCAGAUCAGGGUGGUCUUGCUGUUGGCACCAGGGCACCUGCUGGUUGUAUCCUAAGACAUCUGUCACGUCUGGAAUCCACUGCAACUAUGAGGAGGAGAGUCCCUUCAGUGCCUGUGAAAUGGAAUCUUCAGGACUUUUUAGUUUUAAAACUGAGAAUCUGCAAGAUUCAUUUCUUCAUGAUUCCAAAAUGUUUAUUUCUUAAUAUUUUGGUUUUUCAACAACUGAUGCUUUUGAGAG